rnacentral:rRNA from 1 species
UGGGGAAUCUUGCGCAAUGGGCGAAAGCCUGACGCAGCGACGCCGCGUGGGGGAUGAAGGCCUUCGGGUCGUAAACCCCUUUCGGCAGGGACGAAGCGAACGUGACGGUACCUGCAGAAGAAGCCCCGGCUAACUACGUGCCAGCAGCCGCGGUAAGACGUAGGGGGCGAGCGUUGUCCGGAUUCAUUGGGCGUAAAGAGCGCGUAGGCGGCUCGGUCAGUCGGAUGUGAAAACCCGCGGCUCAACCACGGGCCUGCAUCCGAUACUGCCGGGCUAGAGGUAGGUAGGGGAGAUCGGAAUUCCUGGUGUAGCGGUGAAAUGCGCAGAUAUCAGGAGGAACACCGGUGGCGAAGGCGGAUCUCUGGGCCUUACCUGACGCUCAGGCGCGAAAGCUAGGGGAGCGAACUGGAUUAGAUACCCCUGUAGUCC